rnacentral:misc_RNA from 1 species
GUGGAGGUGCGUGUCCAACCAAUCUUAGGACUGAUUACCUCAUGAGGAUGAUGUGAAAUGAUUAACGUUAUCCAUAUCCAUACGCAUGCGCUGAGAAACGGUUUGCUUAUUACUUAUCUAUGGUUUGCCGGCUCGUCGUUUGUCAUUCUCGUGUGUGUAUGGUUGAAGUGAGGAUGCGUUUGGUUUUGUAAAACUGAAAUCAGGUUUUACAAUUAUCAUAGUAUCUUAAAAUUGGAAAGCAAUGUCAAAUCUGAAUUGUCCUCCGAGAAGAAAGAGAAGUUCAGCUACGGAUUCAUCAUCCCAGCCCCAAGCUUCUCUAUCACGAAGUACUCCAAUUAGGGAAAACAGUCCUAUUGAUGAUGUACCAUCACCGAAUAUUUCUAGUAUAAGGUCCUCAUCUAAUUCAAGCAGUCGUAACGUUAGCAUUAAAAAACAGAGACGAUUGUUUGAUGUGGAAAAUCAGACAUCAUUACUACUAAUAACUAACGUAAAUUCAGAAGAUAAAAGCUCAGAUUCUGAAGAAUCAACUUCAAAUGUAACAAUAUUGAAACAAUUUAAGAACAAAGGUCGGAACUGGAGAUUCAUUAAACCUACAAAUCAAAACAAUCUAUAUUUUAAAAUUCUUUCAAAAAGGGAGGAUAUAGAAAGUUUGGCACUGAACUGGUGUAAACAUUAUGUUUAUAAUAAAGAAGAAGCAAUUAUAGAAAUGCAACAACUUUUUAUAGAUUUAACAGGAGUAAGGAAGUUUAAUUUGAAAAAUUUACUUGAGAGUAAUUCACAAUUAGAAAAAGUUUUUGAAACUCUUGAAAACGUCGUUCUAAAUACUGAUUUGGAGAAGUAUUGUCUGUGUAACAGUACUCAUCAGUAUAGUAUAACAUGUUUGGAAGAAAUUUGCAAAUUUCUGAGACUUGUUUGGAUUAUAAGUAGUAAUCAGACAUUUUUAUAUGAUUGCUACAUGUCCUUGCAUGUACUCAAACUUAUAAAUUUAAUGGCUAAUAGUAAAGUAAAAGUAAUACAUCACACUGGGUUGUUUCUUGCUAUAAAAAUAAUAACUUUUCUCACUGAAGUACAUAGGAACAUAAUUAAAAACCCGUUAGAUAAUGAAGAACAGGAAAGGUACCUGAGUCAUUUAUCAAAGAAUGAAGAAGGUUUCAUUCUUCUUUUACAUAAAUGUUGUUGUACUACCAUCAGUGCUCCUCAACGUGCUAAAAUGCAGUAUUUGGAAGAAAUAUUGCAAUGGUUUAAAAGAAUACCUUCUCUUAUGCUCAAUAAACGAUGCUUUAAUUCCCUCUUGGAAUUAGUUGCGGACUCUAAGGAUGCUAAAAUACGUCAAAAAGCAGUAGCAGUAUCUAAGGAUUUAGUGGCGUUGCCUAAAUUUUCACAGUAUAUUAUUCCAAAUUUUGCUACAUUGCUUGAAGCCAUCGAAGAAAGAAUGUGGGACAUAGAUUAUGAUGUUUGUAUUAACGCUGUUGAAUUUUUUGGUGCGGUUAUGAGUCAUUAUCCUCAAUAUUUAAAUUUCAAACUGGAAGUUGCCAUUUCAACUUUAAUGCUUCAAAAGAACUAUCCCCUUGCACGUGCUGCUGGCCAAUUUACAAUAAAAAGCUUUAGAAGGGACAACGAAAAUAAUGAAGACAUUGAUGUGAUUCAUAAACUAAUGCAAUUACUUAGCGUUCCUAAAUUUUUAGAACGUAUUGCGUUAUUGGUGGAAUCGGUCAUCGAUUUUGCAAGAGAAUUACAAAAUUAUGACCUUAUAUUUACAAUGUUGAUGAGGGAAGAUAGCACAGAGGAAGAAGAUAUAAUUUUAUGCAGUCUAUUAUCGCAGAGUGUUGUCCAAAUAGCAACUGGAAGGUCUCCUGUUGUCCGCGACAGAUGCAGAAAAGAAAAACCACAAGAACUAGUCAACCAGAAAAUUGCAUACUUUUUUAUAACCAGACUAUAUGACUUAAUGAGAAAAUUUUCAAGCAAUGCACUUUGCACAAAAAGUUUUUGUGAAAUAUUAUUAGUUUUUAAUUACGAAGAAACUCCUUUAACCCACUAUAACAAGUAUUUGGACCAGCUUAUGAAUUUACAAGAAUCUUUAUUUAUCAACAGUGUAAACGAAGAUGUCCUAGAUUCCUUUUCAAAAUUAUAUUCAACUUGGAUGGCCGAAUACUGUCCUUUUAAACUGCGAGCGUCUGCGGCUUUCGAUAUAGUUUUAGAAAAGACCGUCAAGGUUUACAAAUUAAAUUUGGAAGAAUAUAAUGAAGAAAAAUCCGAACUGGUAAAAUCGAAUUUAGAGAUAGAUCUUUUACAUCUUGAAGUAUUAUUUCGUUACAAUGAUUUAAGAAAAAUUAUUGAUUGGAACACUCUUUUUGUCUCCUGGGAUUUAAACGAUGAAUAUUUUACAAUUCAGUCUAUAGAACGCAACAUGAAGUGUUGCUACUGGUUUCUUUUAUGGGAGGCACGUGGUUUGAAAGAUCUCAAUGUAACUGCCGAUUUGCUGCAACAAAAGAUCGAUCAACUUGAAUUAAAAUGUGCUAGUUUCAUAUCUCAAUGUUUAAUUAUAAUGAGUCAAAACCAAGAAAAACCAACUUUGUUGCAAACAGCAUUUGACGUGAUAAUAGACCUUCACUUAGAAUAUUUAAACGAGUUGUCUGCAAAAUUCAGUAAAGUGCAACCGUUUAAACAACUCCAUCUAAAGGUGUCUACCACUCAAGCUCAAAACGUUCUUGUCGAUUAUGUACUAUCACGUGCUUUCACAGCUGUCGAAAAGAAAACGUUGAAAAUGCGAAGAUCCAAUCUAGCUAAAUUGAUGAACGCUUUUAUCGAGGAUAUUAUACCACACGAAGAACAUUUUACAAAAGUCUUCAUGUUUUACGAUGAGUACUACGAAAAUUACUUUGACAUAUUCAACACCACUCUGGAUAUGUUUCAAAAACUGGGAGGUGUUGCUGUAACGUGUUCAAUAAUUGUACUUACAAUUAGAUAUUCCUACAUCGAGUAUUUGACUUUAAAAGGAAAUUUUGACAGUGCUCAUCCCGAAAUUGAACAAAUAAACGCUUUGGGACAACGUUUCUUGCAGUAUUUGAAGAGUAAUAAAGCAGCUGAAGAUUCGGUUUUAGGUGUUCUCAAACAUGCUGUCUCAUAUACAUCUUCCGUUUUGGAACACCGACAUUUUUUGCACUUCUUCAAUUCGUUUAUACCCGCCUUGAAAAUUAACCAACAUAAAGAAUUAUUCGAUCAUAUAAUGAAAUGUAUGCCUGAAGGCGAUGAAGAUGCACCAGAAGCAUUUGUUCGUUUUGCCAAGAAGUUGAAUUGUAAAAAAGGAAAAAGUUACUCUUCAUUAUGACUGAAUUUUUAAAAUCGACGACACUAAAGUGAGCAGUAUUUUAUUAAUAAUAUAAUCGUUUUUUCAUUUACUUCAGUUUUAUUGUUUUUCAUUUACUGAAAAUGCUAAAUAAGUUUAAUUACCCAAGAAUUGGAAAUUUAUUUUGUACUUAAUACUAGAUCAAUGUUUUUGCAGUGUUAUAUAAACUUAAAUAAUACUAAGUUAAGAUUAGUUCGUGUUUCUUAUUUUACACAUUCGGCAACAAAACACCUUAUUCAUAAAAUGAAGUUUAACUUCAACUUAUUUAACCAUACAAUCUUCCUCAAAAUCUUCAAAAUUUCUAACCUACCCACCGGGUGAGGGGAUAAAGUAAAAAUUUUGAAAGAUUUAUGGAAUGUUAUGUAGUAAGUAGGGGAAUUUUAUUUUAAUGUCUAUUUCAUCUGCUCUAUAAUUUCUAGCAUCAGCAAUUUCACCAGUUAAACGUAACAUACAGAAUCGAUUAUGAAGCACUUAUUAGAAUAAAAUUUCAUUUUAAUGCUAAUUAUUUUAUAGUCAUGUAGACAUAUAUUCAUUUAUUUAAGUGAUUCACUGACGCACAAUACCUUGUUACCUCUGAUACAUGGAAAAAAUCGAUAAAAAAUGAAUAUAUCGUAUUCAAAUGCAAAUCAACCUCCGAAAACUGUACAUGCAUAUACCUCGUUAACAUUAUUGCAUCUGACUUUUUUUUUACACGUUGUCACACAGACAUUUAUUUUGUGACAAUAGCCUACCAAAUUCUUGAAAAAUUUUGAUUAUUUUCCUGAUAUUUUAAAAACGCACAAAAGGGCAGAAAAACUUUUGGGUGUUUCAUUCCCACUAGUCACUAAUUUAAAGUGCGCGCCUUUUUUUAUUUAGUAUUGACCAGACCUGCUGGAGGGCGCGCAAAUCAGCGCAUUUCGAAUUGACCAUUAUUACCGUUUGUAUAUCUAUUAUCUUUGACUUCAAUGAUAGAGGUGUCGACUCUCCUAUCAUAACUAAUGCAGACUAAACCUGACAGAUGGCGGUGUUUGCAGCGUUUAAAGAU